CGGGUCUUGUAUCCAAAAUCAUCUACUCGGCGAGAGCUUUCCAUAGACACCAAGAACGCCGAAAUCCAUCGAGCGGAUUGUCCGAUUUUUGCUCGGGAAGAUUUUAGCCCAUUUCGACUUUUGGGCUAGAUUUCUCGAAAACCGUGAAUCCCACGAGAAAACCGAGGCCACCAGCACGCUCCAUUCGUCGAGAGCUUCGCAACGACAUAAAUUUCAAAUUUUUCCGACACCGUUUUUCGGUAUCCUCGAUUCGCGGAAAUUCGACAGUUGACCGGGUCUGCAAAUUUCGGGCCAGACAGACCCGUUACUGGAAAAGUCUCCGAAUUGGACCGAGGUUUUGGCUAGCCCCCCAUUGUCAGACGUCCCGAGCGCGUUCCCGAAGUCGGAAUCGGCAAAGGUGAGCCGGGACAGCCUUCUUCCUCCGUCCAGCCGCCUCAGUGACCAUCGUCAAGUCUGUGAGUAGAAUAUUAAUUUUAAUUGUAAUUUCGAUAUUAUUAUAUGUUCAAGCAUGCCCAUGCAUCACUUAUAUGCAUAUAUUUAUGUAGUUAAACUCUAGGCACGAUUUAUGUUGCAUUCAUAACUGUUGAUGUGCCAUGGAUGUUGUUGUGGUAAUUUGGAGCAGAGUGCGUGCGUUGGCGUGCGUGUGAUGUGGUGUGGACUAUGGAAAGGACGGGGUAGUCACGGCU